CGAAAGAACUCUCAUUCUAGGGUGAUUUUGGUGACAUUAUCCCACUUACUUUGUGACAAACGCUCCUAAUCUUGAAGAGAUUUGCCACAACUAAUUGCAUGUCUUUGAAGAGUUGAGAGAGUACUCCUUAUUUUCUUUACCCAACCAGUACAUCCACUCAAUAAAAUGGAGAUGCUUCUUUAAACUUUUUUGUUGUCUGAUUGCCCCUAAGCCUCCAGACAUGUCCCUUUUAUUGUCUGCCACGCUCUUUUUUUAAUGUGUUGUGUUGUGGUGUGUGUGUGUGUGUGUGUGUGUGUGUGUGUGUGUGUGUGACGUCCUUUGUGAGGAUCCCCAAAGUUGUUUGUGGUUGACUGUCUGGUGAUUGUAACCUAGCCUAUUCAGAGACCUGACAUACGCUCCCUAGCAGUCACUCAGAAUGGUGGAACCUCUUCGGAACCUCUUCUCACAUGUCGUCUGAUGAUAGGGAUAAACGUUUUUCCACCAUUUUGAAUAACUGGGCGCCGUCAGUUAUGUUUGACCUCCAUCAUCCCAAACACCCAUCCCUGUCUUCUCCACAUUGUCCCCAUCCUUCCACGAUUGUACUGAAAGAUAGGAACAAGUGCGUAUCGUUAUUUUGUGAAAUGGAGUUGGCCAGUGGUUAGUCAUGCUUUUAAAUGGCGGGGGAUCAGUUAAUCCAUGGGAACUAGCAUAAUAUCACUUAUGACACAAACUAAGGUCUGAUGGGUGAAAUUGUAUAAUGUUGAAAGAACCGAAACAUGAUCCUAUGAAACAAACACAUCUCAGUGAUGUUAUCAAAUAAUUCUGUACACAAAAUAGGUAAGCUCAAUUUUUUUUUCAUAUCAAAUGUUAUUGUUCACAUAUACAUAUUUAGCAGGUGUUAUUGCGGGUGUAGCGAAAUACUUGUGUUCCUAGCUCCAAAAGUGCAGUAGUAUUUAACAAUUCACACCAAUCUAAAAGUAAAAUAAUGGAAUUAAGAAAUAUAUCAAUAUUAGGAUGAGCAAUGUCUGUGUGGCAUUGACUAAAUACAGUAUAUAAAAUGAGUUAAUCAGUAUGUAAACAUUAUUAAAGUGACCAGUGAUUCCAUGUCUAUGUACAUAGGGCAGAAGCCUCUAAGGUGCUGGGUUGAGCAAAUGGGUGGUAGCUGGCUAGUGAUGGCUAUGUAACAGUUUGAUGGCCUUGAGAUAUAAGCUGUUUUUCAGACUCUCGGGCCCAGUUUUGAUGCACCUGUACUGACCUCGCCUUUUGGAUGAUAGCGGGGUGAAUAGGCCGUGGCUUGGGUGGUUGUUGCCCUUGAUCAUCUUUUUUGCCUUCCUGUGACAUCAGGGGCUAAAGGUGUCCUGGAGGGCAGGUAGUUUGCCCCCGAUGAUGUGUUGGGCAGACCGCACCACCCUCUGGAAAGCCCUGCGGUUGCGGGCAGUGCAGUUGCUGUACCAGGUGGUGAUACAGCCCGACAGAUUGCUCUCAAUUGUACAUCUGUAAAAGUUUGAGGGUCUUAGGGGCCAAGCUGAAUUUCUUCAGCCUCCUGAGGGUGAAGAGGCACUGUUGCACCAACUUCACCACACUGUCUGUGUGGGUGGACCAUUUCAGAUUGUCAGUGACGUGUACGCUGAGGAACUUGAAGCUUUCACCUUCUCCACUGAGGUCCCGACGAUGUGAAUAGGGGCUCUCUCUGUUGUGUCCUGAAGUCCAUGAUUAUUAUGACUAUUACAGGGACCGAGUCACUGACUUACUGGGGCUCUCUCAUACCAUCCCUGGGAGGGGUGCGUCACCUGAGUGGGUUGAGUCACUGAUGUGAUCAUCCUGUCUGGGUUGGCGCCCCCCUUGGGUUGUGCUGUGGCGGAGAUCUUUGUAGGCUAUGCUCAGCCUUGUUUCAGGAUGGUAAGUUUGUGGUUGAAGAUAUCCCUCUAGUGGUGUGGGGGCUGUGCUUUGGCAAAGUGGGUGGGGUUAUAUCCUUCCUGUUUGGCCCUGUCCGGGGGUGUCCUCGGAUGGGGCCACAGUGUCUCCUGACUCCUCCUGUCUCAGCCUCCAGUAUUUAUGCUGCAGUAGUUUGUGUGUCGGGGGGCUAGGGUCAGUUUGUUAUAUCUGGAGUACUUCUCCUGUUCUAUUCGGUGUCCUGUGUGAAUUUAAGUGUGCUCUCUCUAAUUCUCUCUUUCUCUCUCUCGGGGGACCUGAGCCCUAGGACCAUGCCUCAGGACUAUCUGACAUGAUGACUCCUUGCUGUCCCCAGUCCACCUGGCUGUGAUGCUGCUCCAGUUUCAACUGUUCUGCCUUAUGACCAUGCUGGUCAUUUAUGAACAUUUGAACAUCUUGGCCAUGUUCUGUUAUAAUCUCCACCCGGCACAGCCAGAAGAGGACUGGCCACCCCACAUAGCCUGGUUCCUCUCUAGGUUUCUUCCUAGGUUUUGGCCUUUGUAGGGAGUUUUUCCUAGCCACCGUGCUUCUACACCUGCAUUGCUUGCUGUUUGGGGUUUUAGGCUGGGUUUCUGUACAGCACUUUGAGAUAUCAGCUGAUGUACGAAGGUCUAUAUAAAUAAAUUUGAUUUGUAGGUUGAACAAUGUAACAGGAAUAUCUAGACUUAGGGAUGCCACCCAUUAGAUAAAAUACCAAAUGGUUCCGUAUUUCACUGAAAAAAUAAAUCGUUUUAUUUUCUAAAUGAUAGUUUCCGGAUUUGACCAUAUUAAUGACCAAAGGCUCGUAUAUCUGCUUGUUGUUAUAAUUAAGUCUGAUUUGAUAUUUGAUAGAGCAGUCUGACUGAGCGGUGGUAGUUAGCAGCAGGUUCGUAAGCAUUCAUUCAAACAGCACUUUCGUGCAUUUUGCCAGCAGCUCUUCCCUGUGCAUCAAGCAUUGAGCUGUUUAUGAUUUCAAGCCUAUCAACUCCUGAGAUAAGGCUGGUGUAACUGAUGUGAAAUGGUUAGCGGGGUGCGCGCUAAUAGCGUUUCAAACGUCACUCGCUCUGAGACUUGGAGUAGUUGUUCCCCUUGCUCUGCAUGGGUAAUGCUGCUUCGAGGGUGGCUGUUGUCUGUGUUCCUGGUUUGAGCCCAGGUAGGGGCGAGGAGAGGGACGGAAGCUAUACUGUUACACUGGUAAUACUAAAGUGCCUUUAAGAACAUACAAUAGUCAAAGGUAUAUGAAAUACAAAUGGUAUAGAGAGAAAUCGUCCUAUAAAUACUAUAUUAACUACAAUCUAAAACCUCUUACCUUGGAAUAUUGAAUUCUUAUGUUAAAAGGAACCACCAACUUUCAUAUGUUCUCAUGUUCUGAGCAAGGAACUUAAACGUUAGCUUUUUUACAUGGCACAUAUUGCACUUUUACUUUCUUCUCCAACACUGUCACGCCCUGGUCUAAGUAUUUUGUGUUUUCUUCAUGUAUUGGUUCAGGCCAGGGUGUGGCAUAGAGUUUUUGUAUUGUGGUGUGUUUUGUCUUGGGAUUUUGGUAUGUGUGUAUAGUGGGAUUGUAGCUUAGUGGGGUGUUCUAGGAGAGUCUAUGGCUGUCUGAAGUGGUUCUCAAUCAGAGGCAGGUGUUUACCGUUGUCUCUGAUUGGGAACCAUAUUUAGGCAGCCAUAUUCUUUGGUUGUAUUGUGGGUGAUUGUCCUGUGUGUCUUGAUGUCCUGGUUAGAGGUGGUUUGUUAUCCAUGGUGCUGUGGAUGCUUACAGCAGGCUUGUGUUUCUAAAGGCCCCUGGCAACAGGAGUGCCACAGUCAUGGAGUCAUUUGAAGCAGCCAUCACCAGCUAUGGAGUACUAUCCCGGGUGAGAUGUCAUCGGGGUGGCGCAAACAACCACAUCUGUGCCUUCAUGGAGCAGUUCAGGGAUGGUGAGAGGGGAAGUGCCCUCAGGAAGGAGCACUCGCAACCAGAGGAUAGAGCUGCUGUGGGGGGACGUCUGGCAUGGAGUCUCCAACGUUUACAAUUCUUGGAGUUCACCUUCUUGGAGACGGAGCAGAUCAUCAACAUAAACAAUGAGGUGCACCUGUGGGCACUGCACUUUGUAUUCCUGUCACAGGCGUAAAGAGAUCUGCUGUGCCAGUCAGUAGAACCACCAUGGGUUGAGGACUGAACAAUGGCCGUCAGCUCUGCAGUUGUUCGUAUCGGGUUCCCUGGCAAUUUUGAGCGCCUAUCUGACCCUUGGACUGGAUUUUGUUCGCCCCAUCUUCAACCACAUCACCUCAGCUCCUCCAACCAGCACCCUCAGCUCCUCUAACCAGCAUCACCUCAGCUCCUCUAGCCAGCAUCACUUCAGCUCCUCCAACCAGCACCACCACCUCAGCUCCUCCAACCACUAGCGCCUCAGCUCUUUACUGGUCGGAUGGGGUGAUUGUGCCACAAAUCCAGUUCACCAUCAGCAACACACAGAUGGAACUGUUGCAGACAAUGAAUCCAUUGGAAGUCCCCAGAGGCAGCCUGGGAGUUUAAAUUCUACAGAGGGCUAUGGCAAUUAUAUCUUCAGCGCCACUCGUUCCUUUUGAAUCAGUUAAAUUUUAUAAUACUAACUAAACUGUUUGAGGUAACAUUCCCCCUCUAGGGAUCCUGCGUGCCGCAGGGGUCUAAGGCACUGCAUCGCACCGAUCCUGGGCUGUUUCACAACCAGUCGUGCUCGGGAGUCCCAAAGGGCGGGGUCACAAUUGGCCCAGCAUCGUACGGGUUAGUGGAGGGUUUGGCUGGGGUAGACAGUCAUUGUAAAUAAGAAUUUGUUCUUAACUGACUUGCCUAGUUAAAUAAACAUUAUGAUUUGGUCUCUAUAAAGGUACUACAGACGUAUCUUAACAAAGAGUGUCAAGGUGUAUGGCCCCUCGGUGGGUUCAGAGAAAUAUCUUUGUGUUGAGGUUACUUGACAACUUGUGCUGAACUGGAGUGGACCUUGACCAGAGUCGAAGCAAUAAGAGACCUGCCCAAAAGCUAAGUACUUCUCCAUUCAACAUAUUCCCCUCCUAUCCAUUUACCUUUGAUUUUGAAUGACCUUAUCACACAUUUCCCUGUUGAGUUGUGGAUUUAUCUACUAUUAUUCAUAGUUUUCUUUGCCAUUACUGUAUUCUUGUGUUUGGAAACCCCUUACACCCUCCUUGACACUGUAUGAUUGGGUCUCUAGAAAUGUAUGACAGAUCUUCAACUCUAAACGGAUGGGGCCCAGAGUUUAGACACAGUACAACACAACCCAGGAGAGGCCUACUGCAAGCACUGGAUUCGAGCCUUCAGUGUGCCUGCCGUCGGAGGUCAACCGAACAUUCUGAAUGGACAUUAUUAAAACAGAACUUUACCUUUUUUUAAUGCCCAAUUGGGACUUUUAUAAAUUGUUAAAACAAAUAAUCAUGUAACUUCCUAUAGUUAAAAAACAUUAUGUAGAUAGGGGUUCUGUCCCUGUUACACUUUAUAUCAUGGUGAUUAACAGCAACCUACUAUAUUACAGUUAGUAACAUAACAUUGUUGACACAUUGUGGUUGAAGAUGGACUAGUGCCGGGCUCUCAACCCUGUUCAGGGAGAGCUACCAUCUUGUAGGUUCCCAAAAGGGGAGCUGUCACUUAAUGCAAUGGAUGGGAAGCCUUCUUAUUGCAUGUAGUUCUAAUUAAAUUAUAAUGGCUGAAAUUAAUUUAUUCUUAAAUGUAGGACAUCAAAUUAUCAGAUUUGGAUGAAUUGGCUGUCAUAUGGCAGCAGUACUUCAGUCAAUAUCAGCAAAGGAUUUUGGUUGAGUGUAGUGUUACUAAAAAAACAACCAUAAAACACCAAGACAAACUAUGGACUGUAUCAUUUAAUAUUAAUGAUCAUUAAGUGAACAAUAACAGCCAAUAUGGAAAUACAGUGCAUUUGGAAAGUAUUCUGAAUACUUUCCGAAUGCUCUGUACUAACAAUACAGAGAUGUAAGUAGAUAAAUGUUGAUGUGCAGUUACAUUUUCAAACACUCAAUUGCUACUGUAGUUUAGUGCUACUAGAUACAAUUCUGUGUUGUAGAAAUGUUGUAAUGCAACACAAAAAUGUGGGGAAUUCACAAUCCCUGGAGGUCAUGAAGUCAUUGUAGGUGCUAUGAAGAGGGAGCCUUAGUUUCACAGCACACAUGUUUGCCUCUGGGUACUUUUUCUUCUACUGCCCAGAGAGACAUCUUCGCACUGUGUGGAGGAAUUUGAUGGUUGGGGUGUCCUCAAAUCCCAGGGGUGGCACCACUGUUGCUCCAGUAGCAAACUCCAACACCAUUUCCACUGUGAGAGGAGGACAUUUUAAAAUGCACAUUUAAAUCACAAAAUGGAAUAAUAUGCAGUUAGCGAUUUAAACUUGAACAUUUUAACUACUAUCUUACAUUGUACCUCUGGCAGCCAGUUGAACCAGUGGUAGAUGGUGUCGUUCCCAAAACACUACUGGUUCCCGCCAUGUAUGGAAUGGGUUACUUUAAACAGGUCCCUGGCAGUGGAAGGCUUUGUGGAAUGUCAUGACGUUGCCCUCUUUGGGUACAGAAAGCCCCACCCCUCUCUCCUACACCCAGGCUGCUGUGGUCAGAGAGAGGUCGUAAAUUACAGGAGAUUAUCUCCUCAUGGCCACAGUAUAGAGAGAGUGAAUUUUCAUAGAGAACAAAGGAAUUUCUUCCACCUCACAGAACUUGAGGUCCGAACAACAUUUAUGUUCUGGAGAAGGUAUAAAAGAUCGGUGAAGAAUCUAGCUACGAACUGGUCCGUUUGGUACAAUUUUGUGAAACUCAUGGGAGACGAUACGGCCACAUUACCAUAACUCUGUUUAUAUAAUGGCCUCAGAUAUGAAGUUUCCAUCUAAUUGUUGUAUAAUAUAAUGAAUGAGUGACGAUGAAACUGUUUUGUAAAAUUGUGUAAUGUGAUUUUGGACUGUUUAAUGAAGGAAACUCCAAUUCCCUUUUUGAGGUGAACUAAAUUAGAGGACCGCCCAUGAGCCCAGUUCGGACCUGGCGUCAUGAGACAGCCUUUUUCUGCUCUCCCGAAUAAAACCCUCACUCAGAGAAUUUCUCAACAGACCAUGUUGCUCUCAAUUACGAGAGGACAAAGGAUGCAGACCAGCUUACCUUGAUAACGAGAGGGCCAAGUUGAGACCAGACUGCUGAAUCUUUUAACCAUCCCACGUGGUUAAACUCUUAGACAAUCGAUACCGACAGAAUAAGAACAAGUCGUUGAUAUUAAUUACUAGUCUGCAGCUAGGAAUUCGGUAUCAUUGAACUCAAAGACCUGAUAACUGCUGAAAUAUCUAUCCAUAAUGACAUGAAUGAAUGUCACUGAACUAUCCAUUCUAACCACGACAGAGAGGGCGGACAAACUUUUCAACAGAGACCCCGACGACACACUGAGCAUAAAUAUAUAUAUAUAUAUAUAUAUAUAUAUUGAUUGAUUGAUUGCAAUUGUUCCCCAAAUGAGUGUGAGUUCAUUUGCAAAGGAUUAGCAUUUAAAUAGUUAUAAUUAUCAACUGUGUGUUGUCUUAUCUCAGUCGAACCCCACUUCCCUUUUGUACACCAAGUCGCGAUGCCGGUUUAUCCCACUAGGGAAACUCCAUUAUCAUUUCCUUGUAACUACUGUUUGUUUAUGCAUUUCUGUGAAUUACUUAGUUAAAUCAUUUAUUUACUAAGACAAUUGAUGUAUGGAUGACUGAUAGUGAAGACUGGGUUCGUGCAGAUAGCCAACAAUUUACGAUGUUUGGAAUGAGACUAACGUGAGGUAAAAUAAGAAUAAGUCAUUAAUCAGAAGACUAAUUGAUCAGAAAUAAAAUAUCUGAAAAGUUAUAUUAGGAAUAUUAUAACUUUGUAAUCUUAAUAUUUUCCUUGGUGCCCCGACUUCCUAGUUAAUUACAGUUACAUGAUUAAUCAGUUUAAUUGCGUAAUAAUAAUUACAGAUUAUUGGCAUCAUUAUACUAAAAAUUAAAGACACGGCGGGAGUCCACAAAAAACUGCUCGGAGGCUGUCUGGGUUGUUCCCCAAUGCCUCGAGCAGCCCAAGAGAGUUGAGGCCAUAUUUGAACCUGUUAUGGUUUAGGGACUGUAUGUAUAUUUCGUUAUAGACGUUUCAUCUCCUGUGGCAAAAAUAAGUAUUGAACUAAUCUGUUUUGUGAAUGAAAAUGUUCCCUGUUGGAAUACCGACGAUGUGUGAUUAACAUAUUUACUAAACUAUUAUAUACAUUCUCCUGUUCUGCAGCUAGAGAGAUUGUAGGCAUCGUCUUGGAGAUGCCGUAUCUCCUGUCUUUCCUCUAGAGACUGAAAUCAAUACAGAUUUGUUUGAUGAGAUGGAGAUAUCGGGGACGUAGGUCGGGGUGCCUUGUAAGGAUCCAACGGCGAAGUCGUGGCUGAACGACGACAUGGAUAACAUACAGCUGGCUGGGUUUUCCGUCCAUCGGCAAGAGAACAGCUGCCUCUGGCAAGACGAGGAGUGGUGGUCUGUGUCAGCUGGUGCACAAAAUCUAAUAUUAAGGGAGGUUCGAGUAUCUCAUAAGAUGUAGACCACACUAUUUACCAAGAGUUUAUCUAUAUUUUUCAUGGCUGUCUAUUUACCACCACAAACCGAUGCUGCCACUGAGACGGCACUCAACAAGCUGUAUAAGGCCAUAAGCAAACAAAAAAAUGCUUAUCCAGAGGCGACGCUCCGAGUGGCCGGGGACUUUAAUCCAGGGAAACUCAAAUCAGUUUUACCUAAUUUCUACCAACAUGUUAAAUGUGCAACCAGAGGGGGAAAAAAAACUCUAGACCACCUUUACUCCACAGGAUGUCUUCCUUAAUUGAUAUUCUCCUAGGCAGAUUUGGAAAGUAAAAGCCAUAUCUCAGACUGGCCAAUAAAAAGAAAAGAUUAAGAUGGGCAAAAGAACACAGACACUGGAUAGAGGAACUCUUCACUGUUGACAUUGAAACUGGUGUUUUGCGGGUACUAUUUAAUGAAGCUGCCAGUUGAGGACUUGAGAGGCAUCUGUUUCUCAAACUAGACACUCGAAUGUACUUGUCCUCUUGCUCAGUUGUGCACCGGGGCCUCCCACUCCCCUUUCUGUUCUGUGAAGGAAGUACUACACAGCGUUGUACGAGAUCUAGUUUCUUGGCAAUUUCUUGCAUGGAUAGCCAUCAUUUCUCAGAACGAGAAUAGACUGACGAGUUUCAUUAGUUAUUUGUUUCUGGCCAUUUGGAGCCUGUAAUCUAACCCACAAAUACUGAUGCUCCAGAUACUCAACUAGUCUAAAGAAGGCCAGUUUUAUUGCUGCUUUAAAUCAGCACAACAGUUUUCAGCUGUGCUAACCAAAUUGCAAAAGGGUUUUCUAAUGAUCAAUUAGCUUUUUAAAAAUGAUGAACUUGGAUUAUCUAACAACGUGCCAUUGGAACACAGGAGUGAUGGUUGCUGAUAAUGGGCCUCUGUACAUCUAUGUAGGUAUUCCAUAAAAAAUCUGCCGUUUCCAGCUACAAUAAUAAUUUAAAACAUUAACAAUGUCAUCUGUAUUUCUGAUCAAUUUAAUGUUAUUCAAUGGACAAAAAUUGUUUUUCUUUCAAAAACAAGGACAUUUCAAAGUGACCCCAAACACUUUGAGCG